ACAUGAGAAGUAGAGAAUGUUUUUUUCUAACAAAUCAGCAUCAGUCACCUUUUCUCCACACAAUUUCAGUUUAGAACUAAUUUUAUAUAAUGCUAAGUUAUACUCACUUACAGUUUUAAAAUCUUACAAUCGCAUAUGCAUCCAAUCAUAACGAGCUUUUGGCAGAAUUACUGUUUUUUUAUGGUCAUAUCUUUCCUUUAGACUUUUCAAAGAUUGACUGGAUCUUUUAUAGUGAAAUACUCAAUUUUUAAUCCUUCAUGAAGAUGGUGGCA
rnacentral:lncRNA from 1 species